rnacentral:rRNA from 1 species
UACGUAGGGUGCGAGCGUUAAUCGGAAUUACUGGGCGUAAAGCGUGCGCAGGCGGUUCUGCAAGCCGGAUGUGAAAUCCCCGGGCUCAACCUGGGAAUGGCAUUCGGGACUGCAAGGCUGGAGUGCGGCAGAGGAGACUGGAAUUCCUGGUGUAGCAGUGAAAUGCGUAGAUAUCAGGAGGAAUACCGAUGGCGAAGGCAGGUCUCUGGGCUGACACUGACGCUCAUGCACGAAAGCGUGGGGAGCAAACAGG